GAGAGGGUUGCAUGUUGGUGUAGCAAUCUAUCAAUCCCAAUCGUCCACGAGCUAAUAAAAGUAAACACUGACUAUGAUCCAUUAAAGGGGACCUUUUCUUGGAAGGUUUAAAGCUAGCCUUGCCUUGCCUUGCCUUGCCUAGCGCCUUAGCAAGAGAGGCACUCGCCUCUUGGAACAAAGGCGCACCUCGCCCGGCACCUUUUGGUGCUUUAAUGACACUAAGUAACAUACCUUUUAUUUUGUUUUCCUCAAUUCUAUUGGUGUCGAAUAGUUGAAUACUCAAUUGAGCAAAGAAGUAAGACAAGUGUGUGAGUGACAUCAAAUAUCAAGUCUAGCAUGGUAGGAAUAAAAAAUUGCUAUCAAUAACACACCUCAUCAAACAAAUGUUUUCAGCUCUGCUCUUUCAAAUGAUAUUUUAUCUGAAAAAGCAUACAAGUGUUCAGCUAACUUUGUCCAUUAUUUAAGUUAUUUCUCGCAUUCGCUAGAGUGACAACAUUGUUUUCCAGCAGAUAAUAGCAAAAGAGCAUCCUAAAACUGGCGAUAUGGCUAGAAAUAAUCAAGCCAGGAUAAGACAAAACAUGUAUCCAAUCAUCGACCUCUCAAGAGACAUGAAGGUCCUACUUGAGUGAAAGAACUGGUCAACUUGCUUACUAAAGAAGACACAUUACUCUCGACAAUUGAAAUUGCUAAAACUGUUAUCACCUUUUGAUAUUAUGGGUCCCUGUUGACCAGUUAGUGAAUCGAUUUGGAUUCUGCCAUGUCCAGGAGGCUUCAUAAGACCUGAAGAGAUAAUUCUUGGGUUCGGGUUUAACUUUACAGGAGAGAAGUUUGGAGUAACAGAAGAACUAGGUCUGUAUCCCAAAUUACUCUUUAAAGAAGAUGUCCUUUUAGCAGCUCCCGAUGAUAGUCUAAUUACUUCUUCAGUGGGAAGAAAUUUCACUUUGCCAGUUCCUACAGGCUUUUGCCUUUUAGAAUGUCUAUGCCUUCCUAAAUCAUCAUAAAAUUUAGUGGAUCCUCCCCG
rnacentral:misc_RNA from 1 species